rnacentral:rRNA from 1 species
UACGGAGGGGACAAGUGUUCUUCGCAUUGACUGGGCAUAGAGGGCACGUAGGUGGUUUUGAGUAUAAGUUUGCUCAUAAAAUAUUGGUGGCUAACAACAAUUUUGUGCAAACAACUAGUUCUUAACUAGAGUGGAGCUAAGGUUUAUAGAAUUCAUAGCGGAGGGGUGGAAUCCAGCGAGGCUAGGAGGAAUGCCUUGGGGCGGAAGCGAUACUCUAGAGCCCACUGACAUUGAGGUGCGCAAGCAUGGGGAUCAAAUAGG